rnacentral:rRNA from 1 species
GACGAACGCUGGCGGCGUGCUUAACACAUGCAAGUCGAACGGAAAGGCCCUGCUUUUGUGGGGUGCUCGAGUGGCGAACGGGUGAGUAACACGUGAGUAACCUGCCCUUGACUUUGGGAUAACUUCAGGAAACUGGGGCUAAUGCCGGAUAGGAGCUCCUGCUGCAUGGUGGGGGUUGGAAAGUUUCGGCGGUUGGGGAUGGACUCGCGGCUUAUCAGCUUGUUGGUGGGGUAGUGGCUUACCAAGGCUUUGACGGGUAGCCGGCCUGAGAGGGUGACCGGCCACAUUGGGACUGAGAUACGGCCCAGACUCCUACGGGAGGCAGCAGUGGGGAAUAUUGCACAAUGGGCGGAAGCCUGAUGCAGUAACGCCGCGUGCGGGAUGACGGCCUUCGGGUUGUAAACCGCUUUCGCCUGUGACGAAGCGUGAGUGACGGUAAUGGGUAAAGAAGCACCGGCUAACUACGUG